rnacentral:lncRNA from 1 species
UGCAACCUAAUUGAAUCUAUUUUGUGGAUUCGGAAGCAUUAAUGCAAAGGUAAUUUCUUCUUUCUUUUUUUGUGAUUUUCUUGUUUGUUGUUUUUUUUGUAGUUCAAGCGAGAUCCGUGCGUGAAUGAGGUGGUCUUAGGGUGUGAGGGGAUGGUUACUUAUCCCUGCCCAAUUCUUGGAGAGAAUACUCUCAAAAUGGCCCGAUUCUUGGAGAGAUUACUCUCAAGAUAGCCCGAUUCUUGGAGAGAUUACUCUCAAAAUGGCCCGAUUCUUCGAGAGAAU